AACGAACGCUGGCGGCAGGCUUAACACAUGCAAGUCGAGCGCCCCGCAAGGGGAGCGGCAGACGGGUGAGUAACGCGUGGGAAUCUACCCAUCUCUACGGAAUAACGCAUGGAAACGUGUGCUAAUACCGUAUACGUCCUUCGGGAGAAAGAUUUAUCGGAGAUGGAUGAGCCCGCGUUGGAUUAGCUAGUUGGUGGGGUAAAGGCCUACCAAGGCGACGAUCCAUAGCUGGUCUGAGAGGAUGAUCAGCCACACUGGGACUGAGACACGGCCCAGAAUCCUACGGGAGGCAGCAGUGGGGAAUAUUGGACAAUGGGCGCAAGCCUGAUCCAGCCAUGCCGCGUGAGUGAUGAAGGCCCUAGGGUUGUAAAGCUCUUUCACCGGUGAAGAUAGUGACGGUAACCGGAGAAGAAGCCCCGGCUAACUUCGUGCCAGCCGCCGCCGUAAUAC
rnacentral:rRNA from 1 species